GACGAACGCUGGCGGCGUGCCUAAUACAUGCAAGUUGAGCGCUGACGGUUGGUACUUGUACCGACUGGAUGAGCAGCGAACGGGUGAGUAACGCGUGGGGAAUCUGCCUUUGAGUGGGGGACAACAUUUGGAAACGAAUGCUAAUACCGCAUAAUACCAUUAAACACAAGAUUUAAGUUUGAAAGAUGCAUUUGCCUCACUCAAAGAUGAUUCCGCGUUGUAUUAGCUAGUUGGUGAGGUAAAGGCUCACCAAGGCGAUGAUACAUAGCCGACCUGAGAGGGUGGUCGGCCACAAUGGGACUGGGGCACGGCCCAAGCUCCUACGGGAGGGAGCAGGAGGGAAACUUCGGCAAUGGAGGGAAGGCUGACCGAGCAACGCCGCGGGAGGGAAGAAGGGUUUCGGAUCGGAAAACUCGGUUGGUAGAGAAGAACGUUGGGGAGAGUGGAAAGCUCAUGAAGUGACGGUAACUACACAGAAAGGGACGGCUAACUACGUG
rnacentral:rRNA from 1 species